rnacentral:rRNA from 1 species
AUGAACGCUGGCGGCGUGCCUAAUCCAUGCAAGUCGAGCGAACGGACGAGAAGCUUGCUUCUCUGAUGUUAGCGGCGGACGGGUGAGUAACACGUGGAUAACCUACAUAUAAGACUGGGAUAACUUCGGGAAACCGGAGCUAAUACCGGCUGAUAUUUUGAACCGCAUGGUUCAAAAGUGAAAGACGGUCUUGCUGUCACUUAUAGAUGGAUCCGCGCUGCAUUAGCUAGUUGGUAAGGUAACGGCUUACCAAGGCAACGAUGCAUAGCCGACCUGAGAGGGUGAUCGGCCACACUGGAACUGAGAGGCGGUCCAGACUGCUACGGGAGGCAGCAGUAGGGAAUCUUCCGCAAUGGGCGAAAUCCUGACGGAGCAACGCCGCGUGAGUGAUGAAGGUCUUCGGAUCGUAAAACUCUGUUAUUAGGGAAGAACAUAUGUGUAAGUAACUGUGCACAUCUUGACGGUACCUAAUCAGAAAGCCACGGCUAACUACGUG